rnacentral:rRNA from 1 species
AACGAACGCUGGCGGCAGGCUUAACACAUGCAAGUCGAGCGCCCCGCAAGGGGAGCGGCAGACGGGUGAGUAACGCGUGGGAAUCUACCCAUCUCUACGGAAUAACGCAUGGAAACGUGUGCUAAUAACGUAUACGACCUUCGGGAGAAAGAUUUAUCGGAGAUGGAUGAGCCCGCGUUGGAUUAGCUAGUUGGUGGGGUAAAGGCCUACCAAGGCGACGAUUCAUAGCUGGUCUGAGAGGAUGAUCAGCCACACUGGGACUGAGACACGGCCCAGACUCCUACGGGAGGCAGCAGUGGGGAAGAUUGGCCAAUGGGCGCAAGCCUGAUCCAGCCAUGCCGCGUGAGUGAUGAAGGCCCUAGGGUUGUAAAGCUCUUUCACCGGUGAAGAUAAUGACGGUAACCGGAGAAGAAGCCCCGGCUAACUUCGUGCCAGCCGCCGCGGUAAAAC